GACGGGGGGCACUACAGUUGAGAAUUUGAGUAGGACGGGAAGUGCCCGGGUGGUCUAGGUGGUUAUGGCGACCGCUCGCACCAAGCAGCUAGUCUGGGUUCGAGUCCCGGCUCGCCCNNNNNNNNUUGAACUUUCCCCGCUGAAACCUAGAAACAGACGAGCAGUCAGCUUUUUUUCUAAUUGGUUCAGUUGGCCUAGCAGCGGACCAGUGUUUGUGGGGCGGAGGUGACAGGUGUUCUUGUGGUCUUUCGUGCAGCCGUCUGCGAGCGAGUGCAUCCUGGUGGCGAUGCUGGCGGCGC
rnacentral:lncRNA from 1 species